AGAAUCUUACUUAAUUUACUUCACAGACAUAACCCUGGGUUUGAAUAAUUUGAGAUCACUACAAACUCAGUAGCUGAAGAUGUCACGGAUUUUAUUCUCUUAUAGUUCUGGAUCUCUGAGAAUAUCUGCCUGCAAGUUUACUUUCCAACCAAGCCAAAAAUCAACAACAGCUUCAACAGCAGCAACAACAAUGACACGUAGCUUCUCAAAGGAAAUAUAACCAUCUGCAUUCCACAGAGGAGCUUUCAGGGGCUUCAAAAUUUCAGACCUCCAAAUUUCGUCUGGGCCCUCAGUAUGGUGUCCAGUUUCCUAUUUUCAUGCUUUAAACCAAAAUGUGCCAAUGAACAAUUCCAAAGAACAAAAAGUAGUCUUUCCUAGACUAAUUAAGUGGAAAACGUGGAAAAAAAGGCACUCAUGCAUGAGAAAGAAAAAGAGAGAGAGGAGAUAGAAAAUUCAGCUAAUAGAAAAGACCUUCUUGAAAUUUAAUAGAAAAUAUGCAAUAACAAA
rnacentral:lncRNA from 1 species